AUUGAACGCUGGCGGCAUACCUUACACAUGCAAGUCGAACGGCAGCACGGAGCUUGCUCUGGUGGCGAGUGGCGAACGGGUGAGUAAUAUAUCGGAACGUACUCAAGAGUGGGGGAUAACGUAGCGAAAGUUACUCUAAUACCGCACACGACCCAAGGAUGAAAGCAGAGGACCGCACGGCCUUUGACCCCGGGAGCGGCCUAUAUCUGAUUAGCUAGUUGGUGGGGUAAAGGCCCAACAAGGCAUCGAUCGGUAGCUGGUCUGAGAGGGCGACCAGCCACACUGGAACUGAGACACGGUCCAGACUCCUACGGGAGGCAGCAGUGGGGAAUUUUGGACAAUGGGGGCAACCCUGAUCCAGGAAUGCCGCGGGAGUGAAGAAGGCCUUCGGGUUGUAAAGCGCUUUUGUCAGGGAAGAAAAGGGAUUGGCUAAUAUCCAGUCCUCAUGACGGUACCUGAAGAAUAAGCACCGGCUAACUACGUGCCAGCAGCCGCCGUAA
rnacentral:rRNA from 1 species